AAAAAAAAAAACAAACAACAAAAAAACCAAAAUCCAAAACAACAAAAGGCAUCAAGUGGGGUUUUAUUGUACUGAAUUCACAGCAAAAAUGUGCAAUAUCUUCAGUGAAGCUAUGUUAGCUGAAAAACUGAUUUCUAGUCUAGGAGCAUAAUUUCUAGGAGCAGAUUCUCAAAAAUAACGUAAAGCAGCUCAGCAGGAGCCAUCUACUGGGAACUAUUAAUAAUUACACCUAGCCCCAAACCCCACGACAAGCUUUGCUACUCGAAGGAGGAGGAAAUGGAUUCAAAUUCCAGCAACCGGCUCUGAAGCUACUCAAAUUCUGUUAACGAGCAUUGGGGCUACUCACACUUCAAUGGAUUUCACUUGGAGGGAUGUCCAAUACACCUGAAAUUGAAUGCCCCAGGGGUGGAAGAACAGCCCCACCGUAUGCCAUGUAUGGAUCCAGAGGCAGUGGAACAGGGUGAAGUUCUGGAACACCUGCAGUACGUUGAUGAUAUCUUGUGUGGGGCGAUACAGCAGAAGUUAUUUGAGAAAGGGAAGAAAGUAGUCUAACCUGUUCUGAAUUAGUUUUGCAAUAAAACAAAGUAAGGAAAAGGGACCUGCACAGGAGAUGCAGCUUUAGGGAAUACAGCAGUGAAGAAGGAUGAGAGAGCAGCAGACAAGGGUGUUGUCGCAUCACAAUUUAUGUGAUCAUAAAAUAACAGCAACGUCUCCAUCAGCUAACCAGAAAGAAAUAGAAGAUUUCUUAAGUGCUGCAGGUUUCUGGAGAAUGCACAUUCCAAACUGCAGUCUGAUUGUCAGCCCUCUCAAGUGUCCAGGAAGAAUGAUUUCAACUGGGGCCCUGAGCAACAAGCCUUUGGACAAGUCAAGCAAGAGAUACUCAUGCUGUAGCCCUUGAGCCAGUCUGAACAGGGCACAAUGUAAAGAAUGUGCUUUACACCACAGACAGAGGAGACUGUCCUACCUGCAGCCUCUGGCAGAAAGUACCAGGGGAGACUAAGAUUGAUCCAUAUGGAGUCAUGCUGAUUCCAGAGGAUUGAAAGUCUACUGUACUGUAACUGCUGAAGAGCUACUGGCAGCUUAUGAAGAUGUUCAAGCAGCUUUGGAAGUGAUUGGUACUGAAGCACAGCUCUUCCUGGCAGUCUGGUUACAUCUUCACAUCAUGCAACUGAUUGUGGCACGGUGAUGAUGGAAUCGAAACUGGUUUCAACAUGCAACAAUCCAGCACUAUGUGCCAUCUUUCCUGCCCUGAAAAAUUGUUAUGAAAGGUUUUACUUUUGUGUUCCUGAUUCUCCUCAGCCCACUGGGUGGGAGGGAGUGAGCAGCUGCAUGGUCAUGUCCUGUUUGGGGUUAAACCAUGUCGCCAGCCAGAGGAGUAAAUAGUUUGCUUUUCUUCCCCAGAAGAUCCCUAUGUAUUUUUUUGUUUUCCUUCUUGUGUGGUCUUGCUCUAGUUCAUGAGCUCUCCCCUGUAGUUUUAUAAACUCUAUAAACCUCUUUGCCAGUGCAGUCUUCAGCUUUGGCUUAUGUUUUGUGAGCAAUUCUAAGAAAAAUGAACUGCCGUUCAAUUAAAAAUUAAGAUAUACUAAUGCAAACAUGUGCCUCUUCUCAUGGAUGCCACUAGAAUCAGCUCUUUAGAAAGUAUGAUUUAGGAUAUUUCUUGAUGUGACAAUUUAUUUUUUUUUUAAAAAAGAAAGUUAAAAAAUUAAACAUGAAAAAUGUUAACACUACAAAAUAAAAUCUAAAGCAGAAAUAUGAGCCUGAAGACAUGAUGAUGUCUCAGAACAUGCCCUUCUUUAUAUUUUCUUUGCUUUCUGCUGAGUUGAAGAAAAGAUAUGUAUGGAAGCUAUUUGGGAACUGGGCAGUUUGCUCUGAUCCAACAAGUCACUGGUCAUUUCAACAUGACUUUUCUUGUCAGGAAACAAUUAAAAAAAAUAAAUCAAUAUUAAUUCCAUUUUGAAGAGGCUAUCAGAGAUCAUUUGAUCAAAACUGUGUCCAGGUAAGAAAGCUUUAGAAAUAAUCUGCUUCUUGAAUUUACAAUAGCAACUUGCCAUCAAUCAUUCAUCAGACUGACUAAAAGCAAAGAUUUUGAGCAAGUUAAUAAUUUCUGUUAUGCUAAUCUAUAAAGAUAUGUGUAUUAUGCUGCUAAGCUUUAAAGAAAAUUAUUUGAGAUUUAGACCUCAAAAUAGAACCACAUUCUGGGAUAAAACUACCUACCUGUUUGACAGAGUUCUGUACCCCAAUUAUUCUCAUAAAGAGGAAAGAGAAGAUGGAAAGACUGUUUUUUGUGUGACAAGCUCUGAAUACAAGCUUAACAUUAUAUUUUUAAAUUUUGAUGUGGGUUAUUGCUUUCUGUUCUUUCACUGCUGGAGAAAGAUAUCUGAAAAUACAGUCAGAAUAAAAGAAGAAAAAGAUAAUAAAGGCAGUAUGAUUCAAAGUCUGUCUGUUUAAUGUCACAGAUCUCAGUU